rnacentral:rRNA from 1 species
CCUACGGGAGGCAGCAGUAGGGAAUCUUUCACAAUGGGCGAAAGCCUGAUGGAGCAACGCCGCGUGCAGGAUGAAGGCCUUCGGGUUGUAAACUGCUUUUAUAAGCGAGAAAUAUGAUGGUAACUUAUGAAUAAGGAUCGGCUAACUACGUGCCAGCAGCCGCGGUCAUACGUAGGAUCCGAGCAUUAUCCGGAGUGACUGGGUGUAAAGAGUUGCGUAGGUGGCAUAAUAAGUAGCUAGUGAAAUCUGGUGGCUCAACCAUUCAGACUAUUAGCUAAACUGUUAAGCUCGAGACCGUUAGGUGUAACUGGAAUUUCUAGUGUAGGAGUGAAAUCCGUAGAUAUUAGAAGGAACACCAAUAGCGUAGGCAGGUUGCUGGGACGGUUCUGACACUAAGGCACGAAAGCGUAGGGAGCAAACGGGAUUAGAUACCCGAGUAGUC